AUUGAACGCUGGCGGCAGGCCUAACACAUGCAAGUCGAGCGGCAGCGGGACCUUCGGGUUGCCGGCGAGCGGCGGACGGGUGAGUAAUGCCUAGGAAUCUGCCUGUUAGUGGGGGAUAACGCGGGGAAACUCGCGCUAAUACCGCAUACGUCCUACGGGAGAAAGCGGGGGCUCUUCGGACCUCGCGCUAACAGAUGAGCCUAGGUCGGAUUAGCUAGUUGGGGGGGUAAUGGCCCACCAAGGCGACGAUCCGUAACUGGUCUGAGAGGAUGAUCAGUCACCCUGGAACUGAGACACGGUCCAGACUCCUACGGGAGGCAGCAGUGGGGAAUAUUGGACAAGGGGCGAAAGCCUGAUCCAGCCAUGCCGCGUGUGUGAAGAAGGUCUUCGGAUUGUAAAGCACUUUAAGUCGGGAGGAAGGGCUGUAGGCUAAUACCUUGCAGUUUUGACGUUACCGACAGAAUAAGCACCGGCUAACUUCGUGCCAGCCGCCGCGGUAA
rnacentral:rRNA from 1 species